CGCUCAGAUUGAACGCUGGCGGCAGGCCUAACACAUGCAAGUCGAGCGGCAGCGGAAAGUAGCUUGCUACUUUGCCGGCGAGCGGCGGACGGGUGAGUAAUGUCUGGGAAACUGCCUGAUGGAGGGGGAUAACUACUGGAAACGGUAGCUAAUACCGCAUGACCUCGAAAGAGCAAAGUGGGGGAUCUUCGGACCUCACGCCAUCGGAUGUGCCCAGAUGGGAUUAGCUAGUAGGUGAGGUAAUGGCUCACCUAGGCGACGAUCCCUAGCUGGUCUGAGAGGAUGACCAGCCACACUGGAACUGAGACACGGUCCAGACUCCUACGGGAGGCAGCAGUGGGGAAUAUUGCACAAUGGGCGCAAGCCUGAUGCAGCCAUGCCGCGUGUGUGAAGAAGGCCUUAGGGUUGUAAAGCACUUUCAGCGAGGAGGAAGGCAUCAUACUUAAUACGUGUGGUGAUUGACGUUACUCGCAGAAGAAGCACCGGCUAACUCCGUGCCAUGCAGCCGCGGUAAUACGGAGGGUGCAAGCGUUAAUCGGAAUUACUGGGCGUAAAGCGCACGCAGGCGGUUUGUUAAGUCAGAUGUGAAAUCCCCGCGCUUAACGUGGGAACUGCAUUUGAAACUGGCAAGCUAGAGUCUUGUAGAGGGGGGUAGAAUUCCAGGUGUAGCGGUGAAAUGCGUAGAGAUCUGGAGGAAUACCGGUGGCGAAGGCGGCCCCCUGGACAAAGACUGACGCUCA
rnacentral:rRNA from 1 species